UAGAAUCUAGUGUAGUACAGGUAGCACGAAGAUUUUUGAAUUCUUAAGGGCAGGUUCGAUUCCUGUAGUUCUAG
rnacentral:tRNA from 1 species